rnacentral:rRNA from 1 species
UUAUGCUGAUAAGAGCGUAUGGUGGAUGCCUUGGCACUAAGAGCCGAUGAAAGACGUGAUAAGCUGCGAAAAGCUUCGGGGAGGGGCAAAUACCCAUUGAUCCGGAGAUUUCUGAAUGGGGAAACCUACCUGAGCAAACCUCAGGUAUCCUGACGCCAAUCCAUAACGUCAGGAAGGGAACCCGGUGAACUGAAACAUCUAAGUAGCCGGAGGAAGAGAAAACAACAUGUGAUUCUGUGAGUAGCGGCGAGCGAAAACGGAAGAGCCCAAACCAGUGUGCGUGCAUGCUGGGGUUCGGACCGCGGAAUUGAUUCAACAAGUUUAGCAGAACGGUUUUGGGAAAGCCGGCCAGAGAGGGUGAAAGCCCCGUAAGCGAAAGACGAGUUGACAUGGCGGGAUCCAGAGUACCACGAGACACGUGGAACCUUGUGGGAAUAUGCGGGGACCACCCCGUAAGGCUAAAUACUACUUAGUGACCGAUAGCGCAUAGUACUGUGAAGGAAAGGUGAAAAGGACCCCGGGAGGGGAGUGAAAAAGAACCUGAAACCAUAUGUUUACAAGCUGUGGAAGAGCUUUAUAUGCUCAACCGCGUACUUUUUGUAGAACGGUCCGGCGAGUUACGCUGGCUGGCGAGGUUAAGCACUGAAGGUGUGGAGCCGAAGGGAAACCAAGUCUGAAUAGGGCGAAGAGUCAGUCGGAGUAGACCCGAAACCGGGUGAUCUAUCCAUGUCCAGGUUGAAGUUGCCGUAAAAGGCAAUGGAGGACCGAACCCACAUCCGUUGAAAAGGGUGGGGAUGAGGUGUGGAUAGGGGAGAAAUUCCAAUCGAACCCGGAGAUAGCUGGUUCUCCUCGAAAUAGCUUUAGGGCUAGCCUCAUACGAGUCUUGCGGAGGUAGAGCACUGAAUUCCUAAGGGGGCGUCAAAGCUUACUAAGGGAUAUCAAACUCCGAAUGCCGUGUAGAUGAUGUAUGGGAGUCAGACGAUCCGAGAUAAGUUGGGUGGUCAAAAGGGAAAGAGCCCAGACCAACAGCUAAGGCCCCAAAAUGUGUGUUAAGUGGAAAAGGAUGUGGGAUUUCGAAGACAACUAGGAUGUUGGCUCAGAAGCAGCCAUCCAUUCAAAGAGUGCGUAAUAGCUCACUAGUCGAGAGGUCCUGCGCCGAAAAUGUCCGGGGCUGAAACACACUGCCGAAGCUUUGGAAUUGAUGAAUUUCAAUUGGUAGAGGAGCAUUCUUAAAGAGACGAAGCAGUACCGGAAGGAGCUGUGGAUUUUUAAGAAGAGAGAAUGCCGGAAUGAGUAGCGAGAGGAAGGUGGGAAUCCUUCCGGCCGAAUAUCUAAGGUUUCCAGAGUAAAGCUGAUCUGCUCUGGGUAAGUCGGGGCCUAAGGCGAGGUCGAAAGACGUAGUCGAUGGAUAACAGGUUGAAAUUCCUGUACUAUCCUGUAACAGAACUGUGGGGACACAGGCAGAGAGCGUGAGCCGGGAAUGGAAAGACCGGUACAAGCGAGGUAGGAGAAGAGUUGGCAAAUCCGCUCUUCAAUCUGAAGACGUGAUGUGGACCGAAAAGAAGUAGGGAAGCACGUGAGCUGACUGUCAAGAAAAGCCGCUAUUGUUUGCAGGAUACCCGUACCGUAAACCGACACAGGUGGAUGAGGAGAGAAUCCUAAGGCCGACGGGAGAAGCAUUGUUAAGGAACUCGGCAAAAUGACUCCGUAACUUCGGGAGAAGGAGUGCCAGUAAGAUGGCCGCAGAGAAUUGGCCCAAGCAACUGUUUAGCAAAAACACAGGUCUAUGCAAAACCGAAAGGUGAGGUAUAUGGGCUGACGCCUGCCCGGUGCUGGAAGGUUAAGGGGAGAGGUUAGCCGUAAGGCGAAGCUUUGAACUUAAGCCCCAGUAAACGGCGGCCGUAACUAUAACGGUCCUAAGGUAGCGAAAUUCCUUGUCGGGUAAGUUCCGACCCGCACGAAAGGCGUAAUGAUUUGGGCACUGUCUCAACAAUGCACCCGGUGAAAUUGAAAUACCAGUGAAGAUGCUGGUUACCUGCGCCAGGACGGAAAGACCCCAUGGAGCUUUACUCCAGCUUGAUACUGGGAUUCGGUAUUGUAUGUACAGGAUAGGUGGGAGGCUUUGAAGUGGUUACGCCAGUAGCCAUGGAGCCGCUGUUGGGAUACCACCCUUGCAGUACUGGGUUUCUAACCAGCAGCCGUGAUCCGGCUGGGGGACAAUGUCAGGUGGGGAGUUUGACUGGGGCGGUCGCCUCCGAAAGGGUAUCGGAGGCGCUCAAAGG